CCUACGGGUGGCAGCAGUGAGGAAUAUUGGUCAAUGGUCGGGAGACUGAACCAGCCAAGCCGCGUGAGGGAUGAAGGUACAGAGUAUCGUAAACCUCUUUUGUCAGGGAACAAAGACUGGGACGCGUCCCCGGAUGAGUGUACCUGAAGAAAAAGCAUCGGCUAACUCCGUGCCAGCAGCCGCGGUAAUACGGAGGAGGCGAGCGUUAUCCGGAUUUAUUGGGUUAAAAGGGUGCGAAGCGGGUCUGUUAAGUCAGCGGUCAAAGCCCGGGGCCAAACCCCGGCCCGCCGUUGAAACUGGCAGUCUCGAGUUGGAGAGAAGUAUGCGGAAUGCGCGGUGUAGCGGUGAAAUGCAUAGAUAUCGCGCAGAACUCCGAUUGCGAAGGCAGCAUGCCGGCUCCACACUGACGCUGAGGCACGAAAGCGUGGGGAGCGAACAGGAUUAGAUACCCCGGUAGUC
rnacentral:rRNA from 1 species